rnacentral:tRNA from 1 species
GGGAGGGUAGCUCAGUGGUAGAGUGCUUGCUUUGCAUGCAUGAGGCUCUGGGUUCGAUUCCCCAGCACCA